UCAAAAGCAAGGUUGCACACCUAGGGGGCUUAUCUAGGGUCUUGAGCCUUUAUCCCUUUCUUCUUCAACCUUCACUAGUAGGAAAAUACAAUAAGGCACCCCCAUAAAGGCACUGGUUCAGGCAAAACCGGUGCCCUAAACCGGCCCAAAUUUAGGCGCCAUUUUACACAAAUAUUAAAGGCACCGGUUCAGACCAAACCGGUGCCAAAAACUAAAAGGGCACCGGUUUGAACCGGUGCCAAUUGAACCGCUCCUUAAUUAAAAAAAACCGGUUUAACAUUAUUAUAAUAAAAAAAAACCCUCCCAUAUAUAAACCCCCCCAAACCCUAAAACUCAAUUCGCCGCUUCUCCCUCCUCUUCUCUCAUUCUCUUUCUCUCUCCUCUUCUCCUCUCCUCCUCUUUUGCUCAUCAUUCACCAGUUUGUAAAUACACAUUGAAUGUUGGGAUUACGCAUCCGUUAGUUUGUAAAGGAUUCAAUGCAGACUUUGAUGGGGAUUAAAUGGUUGUUCAUGCUCCUUCCCUUUCUCAUCUCCUCCUCCUUCCCUUUCGCUACCACGUCUCCUUCUCCUUCUCCUUCAAGCCCACCACGAAGACCACCACGGAGACCACCACGAACACCACCACGAAGACCACCACGAGCACAUGCAACAUCACGAACCGGUGAAGAAUCAAGGUGUUGAUUUUGGAAUUUUGAUUUCAAUGUUGUAAUUUUUUUUUUCUUCGAUGUGUAAUUUUUUUUUUCUUCAAUGUUAUAAUUUUUUUUUCCUGGAUUUUGAUGUUGUAAUUUAUUUUAUUUUUUUGUAUUGUAAAAUAACAAUGUAAUCAUCAAUAUAUUUCGUAUUAAAGCUUAUU